rnacentral:tRNA from 1 species
GAUUAAGAAGCUUUAAGAAGUGUUGCUUUGAAGCGGCAAAGAAAGAGUUUGUAAUUCUCUAUUCC